AGCAUAUCAAUAAGCGGAGGAAAAGAAACCAACAGGGAUUGCCCUAGUAACGGCGAGUGAAGCGGCAAUAGCUCAAAUUUGAAAUCUGGCUCUUUCAGAGUCCGAGUUGUAAUUUGCAGAGGGCGCUUUGGCAUUGGCAGCGGUCCAAGUUCUUUGGAACAGGACGUCACAGAGGGUGAGAAUCCCGUACGUGGUCGCUAGCCUUUGCCGUGUAAAGCCCCUUCGACGAGUCGAGUUGUUUGGGAAUGCAGCUCUAAAUGGGAGGUAAAUUUCUUCUAAAGCUAAAUACUGGCCAGAGACCGAUAGCGCACAAGUAGAGUGAUCGAAAGAUGAAAAGCACUUUGGAAAGAGAGUCAAAUAGCACGUGAAAUUGUUGAAAGGGAAGCGCUUGCAGCCAGACUUGCCUGUAGUUGCUUAUCUGGACUUUUGUCCAGUGCACUCUUCUGCGGGCAGGCCAGCAUCAGUUUGGGCGGUUGGAUAAAGGUCUCUGUCAUGUACCUCUCUUCGGGGAGGCCUUAUAGGGGAGACGACAUGCAACCAGCCUGGACUGAGGUCCGCGCAUCUGCUAGGAUGCUGGCGUAAUGGCUGUAAGCGGCCCGUCUUGAAACACGGACCAAGGAGUCUAACAUCUAUGCGAGUGUUUGGGUGUCAAGCCCAGACGCGUAAUGAAAGUGAACGGAGGUGGGAACCCUUUGGGUGCACCAUCGACCGAUCCUGAUGUCUUCGGAAGGAUUUGAGUAAGAGCAUGGCUGUUGGGACCCGAAAGAUGGUGAACUAUGCUUGAAUAGGGUGAAGCCAGAGGAAACUCUGGUGGAGGCUCGCAGCGGUUCUGACGUGCAAAUCGAUCGUCAAAUUUGGGCAUAGGGGCGAAAG
rnacentral:rRNA from 1 species